rnacentral:rRNA from 1 species
GUGAGGAAUAUUGGUCAAUGGGCGAGAGCCUGAACCAGCCAAGUCGCGUGAAGGAAGAAGGAUCUAUGGUUCGUAAACUUCUUUUGCAGGGGAAUAAAGUGCGGGGCGUGUCCUGUUUUGUAUGUACCCUGAGAAUAAGGAUCGGCUAACUCCGUGCCAGCAGCCGCGGUAAUACGGAGGAUCCGAGCGUUAUCCGGAUUUAUUGGGUUUAAAGGGUGCGUAGGUGGUUUGAUAAGUCAGCGGUGAAAGUUUGCAGCUUAACUGUAAAAAUGCCGUUGAAACUGUCGGACUUGAGUGUAAAUGAGGUAGGCGGAAUGCGUGGUGUAGCGGUGAAAUGCAUAGAUAUCACGCAGAACUCCGAUUGCGAAGGCAGCUUACUAAGCUACAACUGACACUGAAGCACGAAAGCGUGGGGAUCAAACAGGAUUAGAAACCCCUGUAGUCC